rnacentral:rRNA from 1 species
CAUGCUAGACGAGUUUGAUCAGGCUCAGAACGAACGCUGGCGGCAGGCCUAACACAUGCAAGUCGAGCGCCCCGCAAGGGGAGCGGCGGACGGGUGAGUAACGCGUGGGAACGUACCCUUUGCUACGGAAUAGCCUCGGGAAACUGGGAGUAAUACCGUAUGUGCCCUUCGGGGAAAGAUUUAUCGGCAAAGGAUCGGCCCGCGUUGGAUUAGGUAGUUGGUGGGGUAAUGGCCUACCAAGCCGACGAUCCAUAGCUGGUUUGAGAGGAUGAUCAGCCACACUGGGACUGAGACACGGCCCAGACUCCUACGGGAGGCAGCAGUGGGGAAUCUUAGACAAUGGGCGCAAGCCUGAUCUAGCCAUGCCGCGUGAGCGAUGAAGGCCUUAGGGUUGUAAAGCUCUUUCAGUGGGGAAGAUAAUGACUGUACCCACAGAAGAAGCCCGGCUAACUCCGUG